AGGCGGCUUCCGGGGAUUCUUCUGGUUCUAUCACAAGGGACACAGUUCUCUUUCUACUUCCUGUUUUCUGACAGAUUUCAGAAUGUGCCCUUCUCAAAGCCCCGGGCAGGAUCCCCAGCUCAUAAAUGCUUCGCAGCAGUAAUUAGUCUUCAGUGGUCUGGGACGCAUACAGGGCCAGCUCCUGGCUGUGCUCAGCAGCGACCAGCAGCAGCAUGGGGCCUGGAGGGGAAGCUGUUCCAUUGCCAGCUGUCUUGACCUCCACCGUGAAUUCCCAUGACAGGUCUCGGAGGGAGUGAACUGGACAUUUGUGAAGAGAAUCAAUGGCUCCAUUACUCCAUUACUUUUGCCAGAUGAACUCUCUCAUGGUGCAGCAGAGAGGGAACCCGGAGCAGGGAAUGGACGCCAGCUGUGCCUGUGCAGAAAGCUAGCCUGGGGGUGGGGGAGGUGGGUAGGCUCUAGUCUCAACUAUCUCUUUGGGGAGCCCUCCCUCCCCGGGGGUCUGCUGCAGACUCUCCUAUGCCUGCAGAGCCUCUCCUGGUUGGGAUCAUCCAGUCUGCUCCCUCAGCUUCUGUUCCUGCUCCUGGGGCGGAACUACCAUUUGAUGUCCACAUCCUGCACGCAGGGGCCUCGUUCAAGUUCUGGCCAGUGUGUUGCUAAGGCAGCAUCCUAUUAACCUGCAUCCUCGGGAAGGUGGAUUCCAAGAAGACACAAGCAUCGCUCUCAUCUCCUGGGAUGUUGGGCUGUGACCUCAGUGAGGGCAGAGACACACUGCCUAGUUUUUCAAGAUUUCAUCCUUAGCAUGUGACACACCUCACUGUGUGUUGAUAAAAGCACACAGCACUCACGGGCUCUUCCACUCCUGCAGGAUAAUCUGACAGUCUGACACUCUCCGUGCUGCCCCUCCCCCCAUGAUGCUAGCCUGGUCCCCUGGGACACUCCUCAAGCUCCUGUGUCUGAGACGUGUGUGGGUGUGAAGGCAACAGGAGAGACCCACCUGCUGGUUCCUGGCUGUGGAGUCCUAUGGAUGCACCCCAGUCUGCCUAAAGAUUUCAGGGGGAGUCACUUCACCUGCUGGCCUCCCUUCCUUCUUUACCCAUCAAGCUACACUACCCACAGGGAUGAAACACAAACCGAGUCUCAAGUAUCUGUCCUGCUGUGGGUGCUCAGAGCAUGUUCUACUCACUUCUGUACCUCUGGUGCCUCGAACAGUCCUGGCACAUAGUAGGGAUUCAAUAAAUAUGUGUGUUGAAUUAAAAAAAUUAUUCCUGCCGCACACACACACACACACACACACACACACACACACACACUCCAAAUAUGCUUGUGUCUCAAGGUCAAAGCCACAGAAGUUG